rnacentral:rRNA from 1 species
GAUGAACGCUGGCGGCGUGCCUAAUACAUGCAAGUCGAGCGAACGGACGAGAAGCUUGCUUCUCUGAUGUUAGCGGCGGACGGGCGAGUAACACGUGGAUAACCUACCUAUAAGACUGGGAUAACUUCGGGAAACCGGAGCUAAUACCGGAUAAUAUUUUGAACCGCAUGGUUCAAAAGUGAAAGACGGUCUUGCUGUCACUUAUAGAUGGAUCCGCGCUGCAUUAGCUAGUUGGUAAGGUAACGGCUUACCAAGGCAACGAUGCAUAGCCGACCUGAGAGGAUGAUCAGCCACACUGGAACUGAGACACGGUCCAGACUCCUACGGGAGCCAGCCGUAGGGAAUCUUCCGCAAUGGGCGAAAGCCUGACGGAGCAACGCCGCGUGAGUGAUGAAGGUCUUCGGAUCGUAAAACUCUGUUAUUAGGGAAGAACAUAUGUGUAUGUAACUGUGCACAUCUUGACGGUACCUAAUCAGAAAGCCACGGCUAACUACGUG